UCUCGACAGCGUAAAAGUUAAGUCAAAUUUGUAUGGAGUUGGAAUGUUUGCCUAUGUUUGCCCCGGGGGUCAUUGUUCCAGCUGCAUACAAAUUUCAGGUAACCUUUACGCUAUCGA
rnacentral:miRNA from 9 species